CCACUUCAGACGUGGCCACUUAGCUCUGUGAGAACCGGCAAGUAAGAUAUCAUACUGAGACUCAAGCAGUGUCACAGCCCUCUGUGAACCACUGAACUUCAGGGGAAGGAAAUGCACUCCUGUAUUAGCUGCAGAUAUAAUUGGAUGUAUAUACAAAUGCACCAUCCAUACUUCUGUGCUGCAUCCCGGGGAUGCUUAAGUAUUCCCACUGUGUGCGUGUGUUCUCCGCAAGCUACACUACACAUUAAUAAGACAAUCCAUAUAUUGUAUUAGGGCAUACUGUAUGCAGACAAUGCUCCAGAGGCUGUUGCUGUUUCAAAUGAGGAAAAAGCACAAUGCAUGAAGAAGGAAAAUUAAAGCAUAUUCAUUUUGGAAAUUAGAUACGGUGUCAGGAGACUCUCUGGAAAUAGCACAGUCRGAAUGGAGCACCAGCCUACAAGACAGUUCACUGAACUUCUGACCACUCUUUGUACUACAGAAGCUGUUGAAAUGGGAAGACAGCAGAGUAUUUUAUAGCUGUUUAACAGUGGAUCGUGGUUUUUACUAGGCAUUUAUCUUCUGUUUUGGUGUAUAUGUAAGAUAAGUAAACAUGAUGUAGUGUAAUUAUGUUACGUUGAAAGCACUUCAAUUUAGGGUUGGUUUAUUUUCCCUAUUUCUGAUCUCAUUUCAAGUAGCUGAGCUGCCCAUUUGUGAGAGUGGGAGCAGUCGCCACCCGAAUGUCUGACCUGAGGAUGUAACGUGUGGCUGGGUUUACUCCUGGAGUCACCACACCUGGGAUCAGAGUUGCUCUAAAGGAUGUUUUUGCUGCUUAUCAUACUAGGGAAAAGUAUGCAAAUGGAGAAUGUUAAUUUUAUGUAGUUUUAUAAAUUGAAAAAAAAAAAAAUAUGUAAGUCUAAACA